rnacentral:lncRNA from 1 species
GCUCAGCACAAACACCACUAAGAAUGCUGAUCUUGACAACAUCAAGAACACACAACACUUCUCAGCUUCACACACAGAGUUUCUUCAAAGUACAAAGGAUUACACUUGUUACAAAAAGAUAUGAAAUCAAUACAAGAUGAAAAUUCUAUUUCACACUCUCUUGAUCGAAGCAAACUCAAAGCAAACUUCAACUCUUCAAAAGCAAAAUCAGUGAAAAACUCAAAUAUGUUUUUCUUUGAUUAAAUCUUAGUUCUUGCUUGUUACAUAAACUGAACAAACUAUUUAUUGCUUUCAAAGACUGGUCAAAACAUUUAAAACUAGAGCGUAAUCAAUUAUAAAAUCAUUUAAUGCUCAGUCAAAGCAAAAAACAGUUUUCUGUUAUGGUCCCAAAACAAACAAUCGGUUGAAUACUCGAAUCAAUCGGUUGUUUUGGUUUGACAACAAGUCAACCAUC